AUUGUAAUUCAAUUGGAUACUGUUCUUGGAUUGGGUUGGCCACUUGCCAUUUCCCAGAAGCAAUGGUAUGUUCAAGAAUCUCAAGCUUUGCUCAUCUCUUUCCAUUUUAGAUCUCACUCUCACCGAUCUUCUUGACAGCAAACACAAGGUUAGAUACUUCCUCUUUAGCUUGAGUUCUUUGAGAUUCACGCAACAUCUUCUUCUAUCUUUAAUCCUCUAACCCUUGCUCAUAUUCUUUCUCAAAGACUGAAAUUGUUGAUUUAUGAAUUUGAUAUGAUCUCCAAGAUUCUUGCGCCUUUCAAUUUCAGCAUUGAUUCUUCAUUCAACCUAGUUAGGUUUGAUGGAGUUUAAAAACAGUAUGUAGGAUUAACUGUUAAAACAAUCCUGUUUGGACCGGUAUUAUUAGGCUUGAUUGCUAUAGUGUGUGGGGAGAAAAUACAGGAAGUCAGGAGGAAAGUGAGGGUAAGUAAAGGAAUAGAAGAAAGGAGAGAAAAUAAGGAUUCAUUAAAGUUUUUGACAAUUACUUCUGCAAAGAUAUCAAAUGCAGCUUCAGGAAAUACCAAAGUGACUAGCUAAAAGUAUAAUUGAUCAACUAACUAGUAACAGUGCCUAGCUCAGACACAUUACUCGCCUGGAGACAUGGGUUUGAGUAGCAUACCCCAAUCCCCUACUUAACAAUAAAAUAAAAGGAAAUAAAAGCUAACUAGUAACAGUUACUUGAUUACUGAGUAGUUAAUGGGUCCUAGGACAUCUAUCUUUUAGCCACUUUAUUGCUAAUUUUGCUUUAACUGCCAUUGAGGCUGAGAAAAGAGGAAGAGAUAAAGGAACAUAGGCAUAUCCUUUGGAGGAUUAUGCUGUUCAUAUGCUCUAAACCCUAUAAAUUUCUUCUGUCAGGUGGAGAAGACUUAAAAGGUCUAAAGGUUGCAUCCUUGCUGGAUAUAUACUGGUCCAACAGCACAUGCUUACUAAUUGAAUAUUGCUUAUAUCACAUAAAUCUUUUGGUGCCUUUAUGUGACAUAUUUUGGUUUCAUGUAUCCGAGAUCUCCCAUAUUAUGUUAUUUUAUGAGUUAUGCCCUGCCAUAUAUCAAACCUCUCUAUAAAUAUUUACGUUUCAUCAUUUUAAGAGAAAUUUUUUACUGGACAUCAACACAACUGUCAAAUAUUAUAACCAUUCUCAAUAGAAUUGACCACUGGUCACAACCUUGCUAACAAUUAUAAUAUAUUCUUCUUGCCAUAUAUUUAUUUUGAAAAUCUGCAAUGCAUUGACACUGAACUAUACUUUUUUUUUUGUACAUAUUAAAAAACAAGACAAACAUAGCAUAAACUAAGUCUAAUAACUUUUCUUUCGAUAACUGAUAAAAUUCCUGAUAACAAAAUAAAGUAGGUGGAGACUGGAGAGUGUUGCUACUGGCUACAAGGCUAUAUGCAGACAAUAAAGCCUCAUUACAAGUACACAGCAGUGAGUCUUAUCCUAAACUGCAUAGCAAGAUGGCGAAAUAUGAAGCAUUGCAAACAAUAGAUUAUAGACAUAUGUAUUUACCUUUUAAGAUUACAUGAAACUGAAGCUAAGCAAUCAAAUUCUUUGCUGAAACUACCUUUGACUUUACGGCUGCAACUCUGUAGCUCAGUAGCUGAAUUGAAUAUCCCACAAAUUCAUGUUUUUCUCGUUCCCUUAAAGUCUUUCCUGCCAUAUAUCUGAUACUGAUCUGCAGCAAUCAAGUUAGCUGUACUUUGAAUGAUUAGGCGCAUUUUCCUUGAUGCAAUCUGCGAUUCCCUUCUUUCCACUAUUUCCAACAAUUCAGAGGUUCAUGGCUGUUUUUGGCGAUUUCAUGGCUAGAAGAGCUCUCUCCUUCAGAAUACAUUUGUAAAGGACGGAUAUCCCAGACCCCUCCACCUCUCCAGUAGGAAGAGUUAACUUGUGGGAUGUGUGCAACUCUGCUAAAAUCUUCACCUUGUUCAUUUGGACUCAAUGUCCUAAUCAAUUCAUCAGGCAUUUCAAAAAACUCUAGCACUUUUAAUUUAGUCAGAUGCUCAAUUCCUGAGGGAACUUUUCUUAAGGAGUUGCAGCGCUGGAUGAUGAGUUUUUCAAGGCGAGGCAUUGCCCCUUUCUCCACAUGUAUGCUUUUCAGAUCAUUGAAUUUAUCAAGACCUAAUAUUUUGAGCUUCUGAAACCCUCCAGUAGCAAAUGACACAAUCUCUCCAUCAAAAGCCUGAAGUAAUUCAAGAUGAAUUAGAUUCGGCAAAUGUUGAAGAUCUGUAAAUGGAUCUUGUUUAAGUCGACUCCCUUUAAGAAACAAUUUCACCAGUCUGUUGACCAUGGUUAUCCAUUCUGGUAGCUUUUCUAGACGCCCUGUCAAGUACAAUCUCUGAAGAUGCUGAGGAGGUGAAAAUUGGCAUUGAAGGUCAAUGAUUUCCUCCUCUUUAACUGCAGUUAUAGACAGUGCUCGAAGCUUACUUAGCUUUUGAAUGGAAGAGCACAGAACCUUCCCAUCUUCUCUUCUCAACUUAGUGAUGCCUAACCUUCGUAGUUCCUUUAGCUUCCCCAACUCUGUCAUUAUAAUAUGGCUUUCUUUAUUUGCCUCUAUAAAGCAGAGCUUCUGCAGGUUUUUCAACUCUCCUAUUUUUGCAGGUGCUUCAAAACCAUAUUUAUAGUUGAAGUGAGCAUAAGGUUCGAACUCAUACCGAUACACCAGGAGAUGGUGGAGUUUUUUGAGCUUCAGGAUUGUUAUAGGCAAUUUACUGACAUAGGAAUGUUUGAGAUCCAAAGUUUGUAGGUUUCUAAGCUUUCCAAUGGAUGGUGGAAUUAUUCCCACCAUGGUAUUUUUCAAACUCAAGUACCUUAGGAGGGACAGCUUCACAAUUUCAGCUGGAAAUAUCUCUAAAGGUGCACCUUGCAAAUCCAGUACAUUAAGCAUACCAAAACUUUCAGGGAACGAUGUGUGCAUGGAUGAUAGGGAAUCUGUCAAUCCAAACAUGAAUAAGGAACGGAGUUGUGAAAAUGUCUUGAUCUGCUUUAUAUUCUGCAUUGUAUUAUGUAUGGAUAGCCUUCGAACUGUUUCAGGCCAUACUUCAUCUUGUUGUUUCGCUACUGCAGAAAAAUUUUGAUCUUUUGACUUCAAAAUGGAAAUCUUAUGCAGGAUAUCAUGGACACGACAUGUUUUGACCCUUCCAUCACUUGUUCUCUUUGCCACCUGGAUCAAGUUUCUGUCCAAAAGCAUCUUGAGGUAUCCCUGAGCAACUUCUUCUGCUGUUCUUUCUUCCAUUACUUCUGCAAAUCUUUCUGCUACCCACAAGCGAAUCAGUCUCAUGCACUCUAUAGGAUGGCCCUCUGGAAAGAUGCUAAAGUACAAGAAGCAAGAUUUUACAAUGUAAGGCAAUUUUUCAUAACUGAGAAACAAAAUUUCUUUCAUGAACUCGAUUUCAUUAUUAUCUCUCAGUUCUGCACCAAGGCUCCUAUCAACCAUUUCCCACUCAUCUGGUAGGCUUUUGUUCUUAGUAAACAAAAGACCGCUGAUUGCAAUGAUUGCCAGUGGCAGCCCCUCACAUUUUUCUAAAAUACUUUGGGAAACUUUCUGCAAAUAAGGAGGACAGAUUUCCUUCUUAAACGUCCUCUUGUUGAACAGUUCUUCAGACUCUUUCGCAGAUAGUGGUUUCAACUCAAAGUUGUGGCCAUUGAAUUCCUUAGAAGAGGUAGAAGAUACAGCGGCAUCGCGAGUUGUGAGCAUCACUCGGCCACCAUUUCCUCUAGGCAAUACAGAUUUGAUAGAAUUCCAUGCUCCUAAACUCCACACAUCAUCUAGCACAAGUAUGUAGGACCCUUGCCGGAGGAAAUUUUUUACUACUUCUUUCAGCUUGGUUGACUUCAUGGUUUCCACUUCCUGAGGGACUGGCUGCUUGAAUUCGGCAUAGAGCUGCUGCAUCAUGUCUUUUAGUAGGUCAGUGAUCUUGAAUGAUUCUGAGACAGUGAUCCAAACAUGGAAGUGAAAAUGUUUCUUCACUCUGGAGUCAUCAUAAACUUUCUUUGCUAGGGUGGUCUUUCCCAAUCCUCCCAUUCCACAUAUUGCAAUAAUUUUGAGUUUAGAAUCACCAUCUGCCAGCCAAGUAAUCAGCUGCUCUCUGUGAUUUUCAAUGCCCACUAACUCUUGCUCCUCUAGUAGAAGGGCUUGUUCUCGUUGGUCAAUCCAUGUUUCAGCUGCAGAAGUAGAGCUUGAACCUUUGCCCUUCUUGCUAAUAUCAUAUUUUGGUAGUUGAUCAAGAAUUGUAUCAAUUUCCAAUUUGAUCCUAUGUAUAUUAGCAGCAUUUUGGUGGUAAACAUUCUGUUUCUUGAAGGAAGUAUAAAUCUUGAGGAGAAAGCUGUGGAAUCCACACCCAUUGUUGUUGGCAGCAUGAACUGGAAGCUGGUUGAGGACAUCCUCAGUGCAGUGAAGAACAUCUCUCAAUUUCCCAACAAACUUUUGAAGUUCUGGAUCCA
rnacentral:lncRNA from 1 species